rnacentral:misc_RNA from 1 species
AACGCACCUUGCGCUCCUUGGUAUUCCGAGGAGCAUGCCUGUUUGAGUGUCAUUAAAUUCUCAAUCUCUACAACUUUGUGUUGUUUAGUCGAUUGGAUGUGGGGGUUUCUGUGUGGGAUCUAAUCUCCCUCACUCCCCUUAAAUGUAUUAGCCGGAAUGCUUCUGCAAGUCUGACUAUCAGUGUGAUAAUUAUCUAUACUGUAGUUGUUGCAUGAGGGAAUCUGCUUCAUAAACCGUCGAAAGACAAUUCUAAUGACCAUCUUGACCUCAAAUCAGGUAGGACUACCCGCUGAACUUAA